AUGGAGUCGCCGCCGCACAAGCUCAAUGUCGGCCGGGAUGAGGACAGAAUCAGCGCGCUCACCGACGACCUCCUCGUCGGAAUCCUCGAGCGCCUUGACCUGCGCGAGGCGGUCCGCGCCGGCGCACUCUCGACGCGGUGGCGUCACCUCCCCUACCGGCUAUCGCGCCUGCACCUCGACGUCGGUCACUUCCAAGGCCAAGGCGCCACGCCGCUCGAGGUCAUGGACGCCUUCACGGGCGCCGCACAGAGGUUGCUCUCUCUGGUGGUUCCUCUGGCCGAGGGCGAGGGCGGCAGUGCUGCCAUCAUUCCCAUCAAGGCCCUCAUCCUCAGCUUUUACAUGUCAUCCCCUCACCUGAGCGCAAUAGGCCGCACCGUUGAGGACGCUGUGAGCUACGGCAAGACCGAAUGCCUUGAGUUCUCCAUAUCCCCGCCACGGGCAAGCAACACCAGCCUGCUUGCUGAAUUCGGGCAGCAGUUCAUGUCCUUCUCCCAGGCCUACCCGGUCGCCUUCUGGUGGCUCACCAGGCUUACACUCAAGAACCUUGUGUUUGGACAUUCCGACGUCACCGAACUUAUUAACGCUUGCAAUAAGCUCAAGCACCUCACCCUGAGUUCCUGCAGACUGGUUGAUCAGCGGUCGGCGCUCAAGAUUGAUACCCCAUGCUCGGGGCUUCGGAGGCUCGACUGCAUCCGUUUUCGCUGUGAACGGAUCGAACUCAUCUCCGUCCCCGAGCUCAGGACUGUGCUGUGCUGUUCUCGGCGCUACGAGAACCCUCCAGUGCGCUUCGGCGACGUUCCCCAGCUUUGCCAUGUGAACCUCGGUUAUCUUGCCAAGGCGUCGCAAGCGCCACUCAUGUUGAGUGAGUGCCUUUCAAGGAGUUCCAGGAAUCUGUCUAAACUGAAUAUCAAUUUCUUCAGCCAAACGGUAAAGUUAAUUUCUGUGCAUUUACACAUCACCCGCUCUUCUUUUUUACCAAUUUCAGCUGUGUAUUUUGUGUUCUUCAUGUUGCAGAUUUGGAUUCAGCCGGAGCAGCCGAAGCGGCUCACUGCCAUAUUCAGAAACCUGACCGACGUGUAUCUUUUUGGUAUCUUCCCUGAGUGUGAUCUGAGCUGGACCCUGUUUAUCCUAGAAGCUGCACCUGCCCUACAGAAUUUCAAGUUAUCUCGAACUCGACAUACAUGUGGCAAAAAGCUUUACGAUACUGCCGAAAAGACGAAUGUGGUGUGGGAGCCAUCGAAGGAUAUGAAGCAUCUGAACUUGAAGUUGCUGAUGAUGUUAGGGUUCGAGGAGGAGGUCAAGGUGACAAACUAUAUAAGGCUAGUCAUGGCACAUGUUGUGAGGUUGAAGAGAAUCGAGCUUCAUGGUGAGGACCCAUGCAAGGAGUGCAAUGCCAUUGACCCGAGGAGAUCCCAGGUGGAUAAAGCUAGCAGGCGUCAGAUUAAGGAGCGACUCACACUUGAAUCUUCCUCCUCUGCGAAGAUAAUAAUUUGUUGA
rnacentral:rRNA from 1 species